GACAGAGGCCCCAAGCGUAGGCGGAAUCACUGGGCUUAAAGCGUGUGUAGGCGGAUCGUUAAGUGUCUUGUGAAAUCCCACGGCUCACCCGUGGAACUGCUGGGCAUACUGGCGAUCUUGGGCCAACUAGGGGCAGCCGGAACAAGCGGUGGAGCGGUGAAAUGCGUAGAUAUCGCUUGGAACGCCAGGAGGUAAAACAGGCUGCUGGGGUUGUGCCGACGCUGAGACACGAAAGCCAGGGGAGCAAACGGG
rnacentral:rRNA from 1 species